rnacentral:rRNA from 1 species
UACGUAGGGUCCAAGCGUUAUCCGGAAUUACUGGGCGUAAAGAGUUGCGUAGGUGGCAUAGUAAGCAAGUAGUGAAAGCGUUCGGCUCAACCGAAUAUACAUUAUUUGAACUGCUAAGCUAGAGGAUGAGAGAGGUUAUUGGAAUUGCUAGUGUAGGAGUGAAAUCCGUAGAUAUUAGCAGGAACACCAGUGGCGAAGGCGGCUAUCUGGCCCAAUACUGACACUGAGGUGCGAAAGCGUGGGGGAUCAAACAGG